UGGGGAAUAUUGCACAAUGGGCGCAAGCCUGAUGCAGCCAUGCCGCGUGUAUGAAGAAGGCCUUCGGGUUGUAAAGUACUUUCAGCGGGGAGGAAGGCGAUAAGGUUAAUAACCUUGUCGAUUGACGUUACCCGCAGAAGAAGAACCGGCUAACUCCGUGCCAGCAGCCGCGGUAAUACGGAGGGGGCAAGCGUUAAUCGGAAUUACUGGGCGUAAAGCGCACGCAGGCGGUCUGUCAAGUCGGAUGUGAAAUCCCCGGGCUCAACCUGGGAACUGCAUUCGAAACUGGCAGGCUAGAGUCUUGUAGAGGGGGGUAGAAUUCCAGGUGUAGCGGUGAAAUGCGUAGAGAUCUGGAGGAAUACCGGUGGCGAAGGCGGCCCCCUGGACAAAGACUGACGCUCAGGUGCGAAAGCGUGGGGAGCAAACA
rnacentral:rRNA from 1 species